rnacentral:lncRNA from 7 species
AACUGUGCAGAGCCAGGGUGUACCAGUGGAUGAGUCACUGUGCCUCAUGUGUUUUCUCUGCUUUUCUUCUGCCGGAGUGUGCUGUAGCCCUGGGUUUGCCCCAUGCAGCAUAAGGCAUUACAAAGACUUUUUCUCAUAGUCAGUUUUGUGUGUGCCAUGGUGUCAGUGAAGACUCUACUGAGCUGAAGUAUUGAACUGUGGUCUGUGCCCUCUUAAUGGCCGAAGGCCCCCAUGAUGGCCCACAUCCACAUCCCAUCCUGAGAAUUCUGACUAUCUGGUAGCCGUGGCACGAAUGGCAAGAGAACAGGAUGCAUGUUGGGAUGCUAGCAUGCUAGCAGCUAGCUGCAUGCAACCAUCUUUUAUAGACAAAAGUAUCCUGCUUUCCAGCCCAGCCCAGAGAGCUAUGCUUUGACUGUGGUCCUGCUGUUCAUGGACCAUGUAUACCUGGCUGAGGAGAGGGCUCCUGAAGAGGAAAGUUCAUUUGGAGGUGGUCUGCAGAAGAAAGACACAGGAUAAAGUUGCAGAGCCUGGGCAGAAGCAAACCAUGCCAUUGUCCAUUCCGAAUUACCUCCACUGUACAUAUCCCUCAAAGCUAGCCAUAAAUGCUGAAGCCACUUCUGGGAAUGAUGGAGGACUCAAAGGAUGACCAAACAAGCAGCAGUAAAGUUAGGAGAACUGGGGAAGUAUUGCACAUGAAGGAGGCAUGUGAUAAAGAAAAGAUGAGGCCGUGGCUUCAUGUUCUGGAAGAGUUUCAACUUUCCACGCUUCAGCAAGGCAGAGUGCCAGAGCCCCACAGGUGUUUGCUCUGUGCAGCUGACGAGGAGGGGUUGGAGUGGCUCAGAGACCGCCACAGAGCUACAAAAGAUCUUGGCCCUUACGUGCACCUUUGAAUUGUUAUUAUAUUAAUAUUCUUUCUUAACAUUGUCAGAUAAACCAACAUUUUUCCCAUGAGAAAUUCUGUGUCUUUUACUUCACUGUAAUCUGGCCAGUACUGUUGCUGUUGGAAAGGUUAAUAAAGGAAGUGAGCUAU